UACGUAGGGUGCAAGCGUUAAUCGGAAUUACUGGGCGUAAAGGGCGCGUAGGCGGCAUGCCAAGCGUGUGGUGAAAGCCCGGGGCUCAACCCCGGGUCGGCCGUGCGGACUGGCGUGCUCGAGCACUGUAGGGGCGGGUGGAAUUCCGGGUGUAGCGGUGGAAUGCGUAGAUAUCUGGAGGAAUACCGGUGGCGAAGGCGGCAUCCUGGACCGGCAUUGACGCUGAUGAGCGAAAGCUAGGGGAGCAAACGGG
rnacentral:rRNA from 1 species